rnacentral:rRNA from 1 species
UACAGAGGGUGCAAGCGUUAUUCGGAAUUACUGGGCGUAAAGGGCGCGUAGGCGGUUUGGUAAGUCUGAUGUGAAAGCCCCGGUCUCAAGCUGGGAAGUGCAUCAGAUACUGCUAGACUAGAGUGCAGGAGAGGAGAGCGGAAUUCCAGGUGUAGAGGUGAAAUUCGUAGAUAUCUGGAGGAACAACAGAGGCGAAGGCGGCUCUCUGGACUGUAACUGACGCUGAGGCGCGAAAGCGUGGGGAGCAAACAGG